rnacentral:rRNA from 1 species
GACGAACGCUGGCGGCGUGCUUAACACAUGCAAGUCGAACGGUAAGGCCCUUCUUUUUUGGUGUGCUCGAGUGUCGAACGGUUAAGUAACGCGUGAUUAACCUCCCCUGGGCUUUGUGCUAACUUCAGGAGACUGGGGCUUAUACCCGAUAAGUGCUCCUGCUUCAUGGUGUGGCUUGGAAUGUUUCGGCGGUUGGGGAUGUACUCGCGGCUUAUCAGCUUGUUUCUGGGGUAGUGGCUUACGAAGGCAUUGCCGAGUAGCCGGGCUGUGAGGGUGACCGGGCACGGUGGGAUUGAGUUAGGGCCAAGACUCCGACGGGAGCGAGCAGUGGGAAAUAGUGAAUAAUGGGAAGAAGCCUGAUGCAGAAACGCCGAGUGCGGGAUAACGGCAUUCGGGUUGUAAACCGAUUUCGCCUGUGACGAAGAGUGAGUGACGGUAAUAGAUAAAGAAGCACCGGCUAACUACGUG